UGUUCCUUCCUGGAAAGCUGCAGCCUGUCAGCGUGGCUCAGUGGUUUGUGAACUGCAAGUGUCCGUCUGGGAAGGUGGUUGUGUUAAUCCAGCCCACCUGCCCCUAUUGCAGAAAGACCCAAGAAAUCCUCAGUCAACUGCCUUUCAAACCUGGUCUUCUGGAGUCUGUGAACAUCACAGCCACUUACAACACCAAUGAGAUUCAAGAUUAAUUACAACAGCUCACUGCAUGGAGAACAGUUCCUCAGGUCUUCAUAGGUAAAGAAAUACUGAAAGACCCCCUCCCAGAAAGGGAAUUGUACAAGCCCAAGGCCCUCAACUAUAGAAGUAAAAAGUAAGUUUUUAGAUAUGUGGGACAAGCUGACCCAUCAUUUAGACGAAACAGACCAUAAAAGAAAACAAAAUGCAGAAACCAGACUAAAUUAUGGGCACUGCUUCAUGGGCCACCUGGCAGAAAAAAGAAAAAGUCCCUGACCCCCCGGAAGCCCUGACCACCAUGUACUUUUUGCUAACUCACUGUUAUGAUUAUAGCCAAAAUAGGUAACAUACACGUAUGCCUCAUUUACUCCACCAAUCACAUCCCUGUAACCAUGCAUCUGCUUCUGUAAGCCGGCUUCUGCUCCCCAAAAUACUAUAAAAAGCCCACCCUGGCUCUGCUAGGCGCGCCAGUCUUCCGAAUUGACUGGGACACCCACAGAUACCUGUGUAUCCUGAUCAAUAAAAAUCCUCUUGCAGAUUGCAGCCUGUGGACUCGGUCUGGUCAUUGGGCUUGAGGAUCUCCCUCCUGAGGGAAGAUUCUCUCUGAGAGUCUUACAUAUGGGGGCUCGUCCGGGAUCGGAGAUCCUCUGCCUAGAGACCACCGACCACCCACCGGGAGGCUAAAAGACCUACAGGUGAUACAGAAAGAAAUCUGCUCACAGCUGACAGCAGCCUAUGCCCCGGAGACCCCUGAGACAUGUCAUCAGUUCCAGGUUAGAGACUACAGCUACACUGAGCCCAGACACUCGAGCCUCGCUGGAAAGGACCGUACCUGGUGCUGCUGACCACCCUGACAUCCGUCAAUUCUCAGCCCUCACCAGCAGCGUACUAGCUGUUGGGGCUGAGAGCUGGGACCUAGAGGCACACUCAGAUCUUCAAAAAGCUCCCUAGACUUAAGUGACUGGGAGGUUGCUAACAAGAACUUCAUGUUUGCCUGUUUGCCCUGGGUUCCCUCGGAAUAGGUGUAAGGAUAGGCUUGAUUUUUAUUACAAAUGAUGUAACAUUACAUAUGUUAGUACUCCUAACACUUCUUGGGACUGUGCCUCAGGGAUCACAACCUAUAUAAGUUUAGAAGUUCUAAAAGACCUUGGUGUAUAGGUUCAGAUAGUGUCCAGAUUAGAAUCCUGAUGCUAAAGACUUAAUAAGACACAAAAGAGAGUUGAGAAUUAUUUAAGGCUAUCCAGGUGCUACAAGGGCAGCACAAGGACAUCUGCUGUUGCCUUACAAUGCAAGGCUUAUAGAGAAUUCAGAACUGCCAUUGACUCAGAUAUAAAAAGAGUAAAAAAGACUUUUUAGCUGACCUCCAAGAAUACCUAACCUCCCUCUCAGAGGUAGUCCUUCAAAAUAGGAAAAGAUUAGACCUGAUAUUCCUUAAAGAAAGAGUCUGUGUGCUACACUAAAAGAAGAAUGUUGUUUCUAUGCAGAUCAGACAGGAAUAAUAAGAGAUACAGACUUUCAGUCAUUCAAACUUUUGUGCUGAGACAACAGUAUCAGAUGGUGAAAAAAAAAAAAAACAGAGGUACCUAAAACAAGUUGAGUGGAAGAUUCCACUCAAGGACAAAAAAAGAAAAUGGGGGAAUGAAAGACCCCCUCCCAGAAAGGGAAUUGUACAAGCCCAAGGCCCUCAACUAUAGAAGUAAAAAGUAAGUUUUUAGAUAUGUGGGACAAGCUGACCCAUCAUUUAGACGAAACAGACCAUAAAAGAAAACAAAAUGCAGAAACCAGACUAAAUUAUAGGCACUGCUCCAUGGGCCACCUGGCAGAAAAAAGAAAAAGUCCCUGACCCCCCGGAAGCCCUGACCACCAUGUACUUUUUGCUAACUCACUGUUAUGAUUAUAGCCAAAAUAGGUAACAUACACGUAUGCCUCAUUUACUCCACCAAUCACAUCCCUGUAACCAUGCAUCUGCUUCUGUAAGCCUGCUUCUGCUCCCCAAAAUACUAUAAAAAGCCCACCCUGGCUCUGCUAGGCGCGCCAGUCUUCCGAAUUGACUGGGACGCCCACAGAUACCUGUGUAUCCUGAUCAAUAAAAAUCCUCUUGCAGAUUGCA